rnacentral:rRNA from 1 species
CAGGACGAACGCUGGCGGCGUGCUUAACACAUGCAAGUCGAGCGGAAAGGCUCCUUCGGGGGUACUCGAGCGGCGAACGGGUGAGUAACACGUGAGUAAUCUGCCCUUGGCUUUGGGAUAAGCCCCGGAAACGGGGUCUAAUACCGGAUACGACGCACUCUCGCAUGGGAUGUGUGUGGAAAGUUUUUCGGCCAGGGAUGUGCUCGCGGCCUAUCAGCUUGUUGGUGGGGUAAUGGCCUACCAAGGCUUCGACGGGUAGCCGGCCUGAGAGGGUGACCGGCCACACUGGGACUGAGACACGGCCCAGACUCCUACGGGAGGCAGCAGUGGGGAAUAUUGGACAAUGGGCGGAAGCCUGAUCCAGCAACGCCGCGUGAGGGAUGACGGCCUUCGGGUUGUAAACCUCUUUCAGUACCGACGAAGCGCCGAUGAUGGUGGUGACGGUAGGUACAGAAGAAGCACCGGCCAACUACGUG